UAUUUUUAAAAGACUGACAGAGUGCCCACUGUAUCUGUGAACAGAAUGUCAGAAAACAGCUCCCUCUUCUUUCUGCUUGGUUCGUUUUAAACAGAUGUAACUCAUAUCAAAUCAUACCAGAGUUUGCAAGGAUUCAUCUAGAAGUGUACAAUGUUGAUUGUAAAGUUCGAGUUUUAGUAACUAGUGUCUUUAUUGGGAAGGUACAGUGAAUUU